rnacentral:rRNA from 2 species
ACCAGUUCCCUUAACGGGACCUUCUUCGGACAGAGGAGACAGGUGGUGCAUGGUUGUCGUCAGCUCGUGUCGUGAGAUGUUGGGUUAAGUCCCGCAACGAGCGCAACCCUUGUCUUUAGUUGCCAUCAUUCAGUUGGGCACUCUAGAGAGACUGCCGAGGACAACUCGGAGGAAGGUGGGAUGACGUCAAAUCAUCAUGCCCCUUAUGUCCUGGGCUACACACGUGCUACAAUGGCUGGUACAAAGAGACGCAAGACCGCGAGGUGGAGCAAAUCUCAAAAACCAGUCCCAGUUCGGAUUGCAGGCUGCAACUCGCCUGCAUGAAGUCGGAAUCGCUAGUAAUCGCAGGUCAGCAAAACUGCGGUGAAUACGUUCCCGGGCCUU